UAACGUUACACGCCACCAAACAGUCAUUUACACAGAAACCUUUUAAAGUUUAGCACAAAAGUUUCCAGCACAAGUUUGGAUCUUUACCAUUGAGGGUGGCUGACUGUUCUCGACCAACCAUCAUUCACACGCAAAAACUUUAAAGAUAAGUAUGAACGUGCCCAGAGCAGUUUUCGAUCUUUA